UACGUAGGGUGCAAGCGUUAAUCGGAAUUACUGGGCGUAAAGCGUGCGCAGGCGGUGAUGUAAGACAGAUGUGAAAUCCCCGGGCUCAACCUGGGAACUGCAUUUGUGACUGCAUCGCUGGAGUACGGCAGAGGGGGAUGGAAUUCCGCGUGUAGCAGUGAAAUGCGUAGAUAUGCGGAGGAACACCGAUGGCGAAGGCAAUCCCCUGGGCCUGUACUGACGCUCAUGCACGAAAGCGCGGGGAGCAAACAGG
rnacentral:rRNA from 1 species